UAUAAACUAACAAUACAAAAAUUAUUUAUUUUUCAUUAAUGUAAUGUACAAUUAUUAAUCAGGAUUUGAACUUUUCGUCAGACACCAACUUUUACAGUAGAAGAAAAAAUGAAUAAAUUGCACUGGUAGAAAAUCGUAAAAACGUAAUAGAAAAUAAAAGAACUGAUGCUGUCUUCAAUAAUGAAAAGUGUAAAACUUGGAAGGAUCUCACAGCAGAAUUCAACAUCGGAAAAAGUGUACAAUGGUUGAAUAUAAAAGCACACACCAAGAAGAAGUACGCAGAAUUAAAAAAACAAACAAGAAAGACAGGUGGUGGUUCAGUCGAUGUUUUAUGUAAACUCAAUCAGGUCGAUGAAGCUUGUCUCAGAAUGAUUUGAAAUUCUAUUGAUGGGUUGGAGAAUCCAUACGAUUUUGAUGCUGGACAAAUAGAAGAAAAUGCUGACCCUAAUCGGCAAGAUGUUUUCCAAUACUUAGUAUCGAAUUAAAAUAUCGAUAAAUGGAACACGUGGUCCUCAAAGAAAUUGAAAAAACCACUGAGUCAACUGUUGAAUGAUGUUGUUACCAGUACUUCAAAAAUAGUAAGGUCAAUGCUAAGUACGUCAAAAAUGGGAAAUUUCAAGCUAAGUACUUUAAAAGAUGUCAAAUUAAAUACAUCAGUCGAUCAAAAAAACAAUCCUCUACUUCCGAAGAUGGAAUUAGUCGAUUUAAUGAAAAAAACUAUUGAAAAACGAAAUGCUAUAGAAAUGGAAAUAUAUAAGACAGAGUUGCAAAAGAAAAAACUCGAAUUAGAAAUAUUAAAAAAAAAGCAUUUGAAGGAAAGUCUUCACAACUGA